CUGGCUUUGGCCUUUUCCUGCCUUCUUGGAUUCCAGGUAACCUGGCUUGGCCCCUCUCCGUUCUGAUUUCUGGUUCUGGCUUGGCCUUAACCCUCAGCCUUGUUUCCCUGCCCUGGAUGCCUGCUCUGACCACUAGAGAGGCUGAAUCUGGCCCUCACCUUACCACCUAUUUGGGUGGCAUCCUAGCCUGGUGCGGUGGGCAGGGUGCUGAAUUUGAAGUCAAGAGACCUGCUUUCUAAUCUCAGGCUGUUCUGGGCAAAUGACUAUCCCCAUCUGUGAAAUGGAUGAUUCUAACCCUUAGAGGUAAAGCUGCUAUAUAUGAGCGAAGAAAGGUGUUAUGAAUGCAUCAUGCCACCCCGUAUCUUGCUUGUCUCUGGUUUCACCUCUCCCGCUGUGCAUCAUUGCAUUGUGUCAAUACCUCGCUGAUGUCCUGUGAUAGGAAAGAUGCUGUCUCCUGCUAGGAGUCCAGGACCAUGACAAAACCCAUCACAUGGGUGGAAAACUGCCCACCUUACAUGUGAGCCUCGAGCAUAAAGACAAUGCACUUGCCUUUUACCCAAAUUGGCUACAGGCUGGGGCGAUACAGCAAAACAUCUAAUAUUAACUACUGUCCCGGCAUGCAGCGUUAGGUCUCCUACCGCGUUUCAAUCCCUGGCUGGGGAGUGAGCCACUGUUUGCUAAAAGCAGACGGAGCUGCUUGAGAAUGACCUUGCACAGUUGUCUAGCUGGCAAAACCUGGGGGAUUAGUGAUGGGCAUUAGAGGUUCCUGGACAUAUUUAAUUUGCCUUUUUUAAAAUUAUUUGUUCAAAUGAAGCUAAAAUUAA